rnacentral:rRNA from 1 species
UACGUAGGGUGCAAGCGUUGUCCGGAAUUAUUGGGCGUAAAGAGCUCGUAGGCGGUUUGUCGCGUCUGCUGUGAAAACCCGAGGCUCAACCUCGGGCUUGCAGUGGGUACGGGCAGACUAGAGUGCGGUAGGGGAGAUUGGAAUUCCUGGUGUAGCGGUGGAAUGCGCAGAUAUCAGGAGGAACACCAAUGGCGAAGGCAGAUCUCUGGGCCGUAACUGACGCUGAGGGGCGAAAGCAUGGGGAGCGAACAGG